rnacentral:tRNA from 1 species
ACUUAAUUAGUUUAGUUAAAAAUAAUAAAUUGUGGAUUUAUAGAUGAAAUUUCAUUAGGUA